rnacentral:rRNA from 1 species
ACCGAUAGUGAACCAGUACCGUGAGGGAAAGGCGAAAAGAACCCCGGCGAGGGGAGUGAAAAAGAACCUGAAACCGUGUACGUACAAGCAGUGGGAGCACCUUCGUGGUGUGACUGCGUACCUUUUGUAUAAUGGGUCAGCGACUUAUAUUCUGUAGCAAGGUUAACCGUAUAGGGGAGCCGAAGGGAAACCGAGUCUUAACUGGGCGUUAAGUUGCAGGGUAUAGACCCGAAACCCGGUGAUCUAGCCAUGGGC